UAAUAAGUGUUUAUGGCACUUCUUAAAUCCAUAUCCACCUUGUGUGCAAUGUCAGUCGAUCUUCUUCAUGGAAAGCGGCCAAACAUCAACCUUAUCUUUUAACUCGUCUGUCUGAAAAAUAUUAUGAAUAAACAAUUCAAAUA
rnacentral:misc_RNA from 1 species